rnacentral:rRNA from 1 species
UACGAAGGGGGCGAGCGUUGUUCGGAAUUACUGGGCGUAAAGGGCGCGUAGGCGGCGACUCUAGUCAGAUGUGAAAGUCCUGGGCUUAACCUGGGGGCUGCAUUUGAUACGUGUGGGCUUGAGUGCGGAAGAGGGUCGUGGAAUUCCCAGUGUAGAGGUGAAAUUCGUAGAUAUUGGGAAGAACACCGGUGGCGAAGGCGGCGACCUGGUCCGUGACUGACGCUGAGGCGCGAAAGCGUGGGGAGCAAACAGG